GGGAGUGACCUAGCUGAAGGGGAGACAGUGACGAUACAGGAGACGGAAAGGAAGCUACUAGAAUGAGGUCCUACAACUACUCUGCACCCGCUUUCGAGGAUGUUUAAGAACAGUUUCCUCUGAGAGAGACAGAGAAAGAGUGGGGAAGAGGCUGAGGAAGAGGGAGAGAAACCUCAAGCAGACUCCCCACCGAGCAUGGAGCCUGACGUCAGGCUUGAUCCCAGGACUCUGAGAUCAUGACCUGAGCUGAAACCAAGAGCUGGACGCUUAACUGACUGAAACACUGAGGUGCCUCCAACCAUGUUUUCGUGGCAACAGAUUGUUCUUUGUUAUUGCCGCUGCUCAUAUUCCAU
rnacentral:lncRNA from 1 species